rnacentral:rRNA from 1 species
UGGGGAAUAUUGCGCAAUGGGGGGAACCCUGACGCAGCCAUGCCGCGUGAAUGAAGAAGGCCUUCGGGUUGUAAAGUUCUUUCGGUAUUGAGGAAGGUUGAUGUGUUAAUAGCACAUCAAAUUGACGUUAAAUACAGAAGAAGCACCGGCUAACUCCGUGCCAGCAGCCGCGGUAAUACGGAGGGUGCGAGCGUUAAUCGGAAUAACUGGGCGUAAAGGGCACGCAGGCGGUUAUUUAAGUGAGGUGUGAAAGCCCUGGGCUUAACCUAGGAAUUGCAUCUCAGACUGGGUAACUAGAGUACUUUAGGGAGGGGUAGAAUUCCACGUGUGGCGGUGAAAUGCGUAGAGAUGUGGAGGAAUACCGAAGGCGAAGGCAGCCCCUUGGGAAUGUACUGACGCUCAUGUGCGAAAGCGUGGGGAGCAAACAGGAUUAGAUACCCUGGUAGUCCACGCUGUAAACGCUGUCGAUUUGGGGAUUGGGCUUAGAGCUUGGUGCCCGUAGCUAACGUGAUAAAUCGACCGCCUGGGGAGUACGGCCGCAAGGUUA